rnacentral:rRNA from 1 species
AUUGAACGCUGGCGGCAUGCUUUACACAUGCAAGUCGAACGGUAACAGGCCUUCGGGUGCUGACGAGUGGCGAACGGGUGAGUAAUGCAUCGGAACGUACCCAGAGGUGGGGGAUAACGCAGCGAAAGCUGUGCUAAUACCGCAUGUGAUCUGAGGAUGAAAGCGGGGGACCGAGCAGCAAUGUUUGGCCUCGCGCCUUUGGAGCGGCCGAUGUCGGAUUAGCUAGUUGGUGGGGUAAAGGCCUACCAAGGCGUCGAUCCGUAGCUGGUCUGAGAGGACGACCAGCCACACUGGGACUGAGACACGGCCCAGACUCCUACGGGAGGCAGCAGUGGGGAAUUUUGGACAAUGGGCGCAAGCCUGAUCCAGCAAUGCCGCGUGCGGGAAGAAGGCCUUCGGGUUGUAAACCGCUUUUGGCAGGAACGAAACGGUGUCCGCUAAUACCGGGCGCUAAUGACGGUACCUGCAGAAUAAGCACCGGCUAACUACGUG